rnacentral:rRNA from 1 species
AACGAACGCUGGCGGCAGGCCUAACACAUGCAAGUCGAGCGAGGACUUCGGUCCUAGCGGCGGACGGGUGAGUAACGCGUGGGAACGUGCCCUUUGCUUCGGAAUAGCCCUGGGAAACUGGGAGUAAUACCGGAUGAGCCCUUUGGGGGAAAGAUUUAUCGGCGAAGGAUCGGCCCGCGUUGGAUUAGGUUGUUGGUGGGGUAAUGGCCUACCAAGCCGACGAUCCAUAGCUGGUUUGAGAGGAUGAUCAGCCACACUGGGACUGAGACACGGCCCAGACUCCUACGGGAGGCAGCAGUGGGGAAUCUUAGACAAUGGGGGAAACCCUGAUCUAGCCAUGCCGCGUGAGCGAUGAAGGCCUUAGGGUUGUAAAGCUCUUUCAGCUGGGAAGAUAAUGACGGUACCAGCAGAAGAAGCCCCGGCUAACUCCGUG